rnacentral:misc_RNA from 1 species
UCUUUCAAGAUAUUUUUUGAGCAUUCCAAUUUAUAUGCUUACUUUGGAUUGUGCCCCCUCCACCUGUGGUCCGGGAGAGGGUUUAAAUAUCAUGAAUUGUACUAGAGAUCAUGUGAUUUUUUAUGAUUUUAAUAAUCAACAAAAUAAAUUUUCGAUUUUUCUUUUGUCUAUUAAAGGACUUGUGCAUUGACAAUGGCACAACUGUGUGACUCAAGAACGACUUUGUCAAUUUUNCAAGGUGUAUGUUGUUCAUCUUUGUGGUACAGGGUACCAAAAGAUGCCCCAGCAAGCAUUGACUUAGGGACAUACAUGUUCCACCAGGCAGAUAAUUACAAAGGAACGAAUACUAGAAAAGUCGCAACUUUGUACCCUGCAUGGCAAAGCUGCNGUACUUUCAUAAUAAACAAAGAACUGCAAUUCAGUCCAGCUACAAAGACAAGCCUUCCAGAGAACGAACGUUAUGUCCUUCAUCGAAGUGCAGGCCGUUCUAAAGGAAGAGGUUGUGAUGAAAUUGUUUCCAACAUAGUAAUGCCAUUAGGUGCACAUGGUCUAAAAGAGCUGCUCCAAUGUAUGAAGGACCUGCUGACAAGUAACUUCCCUGCAGCAUGUCUUGCCUUGGGGGGGCACGGUCAUGAGCCUUGGAUACCAAAGAAUCGUCCAAGUAGUAGGCUCAUGUCCUGUAGUCUUACUUACAGGGGACACAGAAACAUCUAAAAUCACUGUUUUAAGGGCAUGCAUGUCCAUAACAGGAAAUGCAGACAUUAAAGACUACACCUGUAAAAUGGCCCUUGAGAGAUCGAAGUUAUGUGAUUUGCCCUUUGCCUGGGAUGACCCAUCAUCACCAGAUGACGUUAAGUUUAUAGUCCAAGCCCU